AUGCAAGUCGAGCGGGGGAAGGUAGCUUGCUACUGGACCUAGCGGCGGACGGGUGAGUAAUGCUUAGGAAUCUGCCUAUUAGUGGGGGACAACAUCUCGAAAGGGAUGCUAAUACCGCAUACGUCCUACGGGAGAAAGCAGGGGAUCUUCGGACCUUGCGCUAAUAGAUGAGCCUAAGUCGGAUUAGCUAGUUGGUGGGGUAAAGGCCUACCAAGGCGACGAUCUGUAGCGGGUCUGAGAGGAUGAUCCGCCACACUGGGACUGAGACACGGCCCAGACUCCUACGGGAGGCAGCAGUGGGGAAUAUUGGACAAUGGGGGGAACCCUGAUCCAGCCAUGCCGCGUGUGUGAAGAAGGCCUUAUGGUUGUAAAGCACUUUAAGCGAGGAGGAGGCUACUUUAGUUAAUACCUAGAGAUAGUGGACGUUACUCGCAGAAUAAGCACCGGCUAACUCUGUGCCAGCAGCCGCGGUAAUACAGAGGGUGCGAGCGUUAAUCGGAUUUACUGGGCGUAAAGCGUGCGUAGGCGGCUUAUUAAGUCGGAUGUGAAAUCCCCGAGCUUAACUU
rnacentral:rRNA from 1 species